ACUUUCAACAACGGAUCUCUUGGUUCUCGCAUCGAUGAAGAACGCAGCGAAAUGCGAUACGUAAUAUGAAUUGCAGAUUUUCGUGAAUCAUCGAAUCUUUGAACGCACAUUGCGCCUGUGGUAUCCACAGGCAUGCCUGUUGAGCGUCAUUUCUCCCUCAAACCUCUGGUUGGCGUUGAGUGAUACUCGGUUACUUGAAAACAUGAAAAGCAUAACUAUUAGGUUUACCAACUCGUUAUACUAAUCUACAAGUUUGACCUCAAAUCAGGUAGGACUACCCGCUGAACUUAAGCAUAUCAAUAAGCGAGGAAAAGAAACCAACGGGAUUGCCUCAGUAACGGCGAGUGAAGCGGCAAAAGCUCAAAUUGAAAUCUGCGUAAGCCGAGUUGUAAUUUGAAGAUGGCUACUUUGGUAAUGGCUCUGUCUAUGUUCCUUGGAACAGGACGUCACAGAGGGUGAAAUCCGUGCGAUGAGAUGUCCAUUACCGUGUAAAGUGCUUCGAGAGUCGAGUUGUUUGGGAAUGCAGCUCUAAGUGGGUGUAAUUCCAUCUAAAGUAAAUAUUGGCGAGAGACGAUAGCGAACAAGUACAGUGAUGGAAGAUGAAAAGAACUUUGAAAAGAGAGUGAAAAGUACGUGAAAUUGUUGAAAGGGAAGGCUGAGAUCAGACUUGGUAUUUUGUAUGGCUUGCUUUCGGGCGGUCCUCUGCAGUUUACUGGGCCAGCAUCGGUUUGGGUGGCAGGAUAAUAGCAUAGGAAUGUGCUCUACUUCGGUGGAGUGUAUAGCCUUUGUUGAUACUGCCUGCCUAGACCGAGGACUGCGUCUUUUGACUAGAUGCUGGCAUAAUGAUCCUAAGCCGCCCGUCUUGAAACACGGACCAAGGAGUCUAACGUCUAUGCGAGUGUUUGGUGUAAAACCGUACGCGGAAUGAAAGUGAACGUAGAUGAGAGCCUUUUAGGCGCAUCAUCGACCGAUCCUGAUGUCUUCGGAUGGAUUUGAGUAAGAGCAUAGCUGUUGGACCGAAGAUGUGAACUAUGCUGAUAGGGUGAAGCCAGAGAAACUCUGUGGAGGCUCGUAGCGGUUCUGACGUGCAAUCGAUCGUCGAAUUUGGGUAUGGGCGAAGACUAAUCGAACCAUCUAGUAGCUGGUUCUGCCGAAGUUUCCCUCAGGAUAGCAGAACUCGUAUCAGUUUUAUGAGGUAAGCGAAUGAUUAGAGUUUGGGUUGAAAUGACCUUAACCUAUUCUCAAACUUUAAUAUGUAAGAAGUCCUUGUUGCUUAAUUGAACGUGACAUAUGAAUGAAGAGCUUUAGUGGCCAUUUUGGUAAGCAGAACUGGCGAUGCGGGAUGAACCGAACGCGAAGUUAAAGUGCCGGAAUACACGCUCAUCAGACACCACAAAGGUGUAGUUCAUCUAGACAGCCGGACGGUGGCCAUGGAAGUUCGGAAUCCGCUAAGGAGUGUGUAACAACUCACCGGCCGAAUGAACUAGCCUGAAAAUGGAUGCGCUCAAGCGUGUUACUUAUACUUUGCCGUCAGGUUGAUAUGAUGCCCUGACGAGUAGGCAGGCGUGGAGGUCAGUGACGAAGCUUUGUUGUAAACUGGGUCGAACGGCUCUAGUGCAUCUUGGUGGUAGUAGCAAUAUUCAAAUGAGAACUUUGAAGACUGAAGUGGGGAAAGUUCCAUGUCAACAGCAGUUGGAAUGGGUUAGUCGAUCUAAGAGAUGGGAAGCUCCGUUCAAAGGCCUGAUUUUUCAGGCCACAUCGAAAGGAUCCGGUUAAAUUCCGGAACUUGGGAUGGAUUCUUCACGGUAACGUAACUGAUGUGGAGACGUCGGCGUGGCCUGGAGGUUCUCUUUCUUCUUAACGCUUAUCACCUGGAAUUGGUUUAUCCGGAGAUGGGUCUUAUGGCUGGAAGAGCGCAAUACUUUGUUGCGUCCGGUGCGCUUACGACGGUCCUUGAAAUCCACAGAAGAAUAGUUUUAUGCCAAGUCUACUCAUACGCAGCAGGUCUCCAAGGUUAACAGCCUCUAGUUGAUAGAAUAAUGGUAGAUAAGGGAAUCGCAAAAUAGAUCCGUAUUCGGGAUAAGGAUUGGCUCUAAGGAUCGGGUGAGGGAGCGUGCGAGACGUGGGGGUUUCCGCGGACUGUUUUCGGACGGACUGCUAGACGACCUGCUAGACCACUGCGGUGCCUGCCUCACCUUACAUCAACUUGAACUGGUACGGACAAGGGGAAUCUGACUGUCUAAUUAAACAUAGCAUUGCGAUGUCAGAGUGAUUGACGCAUGUGAUUCGCCGUGCCUGAUGUCAAAGUGAAGAAAUUCAACCAGCGCGGGUAAACGGCGGGAGUACUAUGACUCUCUAAGAGCCAAAUGCUCGUCAUCUAAUAGUGCGCAUGAAUGGAUUAACGAGAUUCCACUGUCCCUAUCUAUAUCUAGCGAAACCACAGCCAAGGGAACGGGCUUGCAGAAUCAGCGGGAAAGAAGACCUGUUGAGCUUGACUCUGUUGACAUUGUGAAAGACAUAGAGGUGUGAUAAGUGGGGCUCGGCGCGGUGAAAUACCACUACUCUAUGUUUUUUACUUAUUCAAUUAGCGGAAUGGACUUCAUUGUCCACUUUCUAGCAUUAAGGUCGAGCUGAUCCGGUUGAAGACUUGUCAGGUGGGAGUUUGGCUGGGCGGCAAUUGUUAAACGAUAACGCAGGUGUCCUAAGGGGGCUCAUGGAGAACAGAAUCUCCGUAGACAAAGGUAAAGCCCCUUAUUUUGAUUUCAGUGUGAUACAACCAUGAAAGUGGCCUAUCGAUCCUUUGUCCUUUGAAUUUGAGCUAGAGGUGCCAGAAAGUUACCACAGGAUAACUGGUUGUGGCAGUCAAGCGUUCAUAGCGACAUUGCUUUUGAUUCUUCGAUGUCGCUCUUCCUAUCAUACCGAAGCAGAUUCGGUAGCGUUGGAUUGUUCACCAUAUAGGGACGUGAGCUGGGUUUGACUCGUGGACGGUUAGUUUUACCCUACUGAUGUGUUGUCGCAAUAGUAUUGAACUUAGUACGAGAGAACCGUUCAUUCGGAUAUUGGUUUUGCGGCUGUCUGAUCAGGCAACGCCGCGAGUACAUCCGCUGGAUUAUGGCUGACGCCUCUAAGUCAGAUCUGCUAGAAGCGACGAUUCUUGCCUCGCACAUUUU
rnacentral:rRNA from 1 species